rnacentral:rRNA from 1 species
UACGUAGGCAGCAAGCGUUGUUCGGAGUUACUGGGCGUAAAGGGUGCGUAGGCGGUCCUAUAAGUAUGGUGUGAAAUCUCCCGGCUUAACUGGGAGGGUGCGCUAUAGACUGUGGGACUAGAGUGUGGGAGAGGAAAGUGGAAUUCCCGGUGUAGCAGUGAAAUGCGUAGAUAUCGGGAGGAACACCAGUGGCGAAGGCGGCCUCUGGACCAGUACUGACGCUCAUGCACGAAAGCGUGGGGAGCAAACAGG